rnacentral:tRNA from 1 species
AGUAAAGUCAGCUAACUAAGCUUUCGGGCCCAUACCCCGACAAUGUUGGUACCUAAUCCUUCCUUUACUA